rnacentral:tRNA from 1 species
UCCCUGUAGCGCAGUGGUAGUGCGUUGGACUUCUAAUUCAAAGGUCGUAGGUUUGAGUCCCAACUGGGAGAA